AGAAUGACUCUCGGCAACGGAUAUCUAGGCUCUUGCAUCGAUGAAGAACGUAGCGAAGUGCGAUACUUGGUGUGAAUUGCAGAAUCCCGUGAACCAUCGAGUCUUUGAACGCAAGUUGCGCCCGAAGCCAUCAGGUUGAGGGCACGUCUGCCUGGGCGUCACAU
rnacentral:rRNA from 1 species